rnacentral:rRNA from 1 species
UACGUAGGGGGCUAGCGUUGUCCGGAAUCAUUGGGCGUAAAGCGCGUGUAGGCGGCUAGGUAGGUCCGCUGUGAAAACUCGAGGCUCAACCUCGAGACGUCGGCGGAAACCAUCUAGCUAGAGUCCGGAAGAGGGGAGUGGAAUUCCUGGUGUAGCGGUGAAAUGCGCAGAUAUCAGGAAGAAUAUCCGUGGCGAAGGCGGCUCUCUGGGACGGUACUGACGCUGAGACGCGAAAGCGUGGGGAGCGAACAGG